rnacentral:rRNA from 1 species
GACGAACGCUGGCGGCGUGCCUAAUACAUGCAAGUUGAGCGAUGAAGAUUGGUGCUUGCACCAAUUUGAAGAGCAGCGAAAGGGUGAGUAACGCGUGGGGAAUCUGCCUUUGAGCGGGGGACAACAUUUGGAAACGAAUGCUAAUACCGCAUAACAACUUUAAACAUAAGUUUUAAGUUUGAAAGAUGCAAUUGCAUCACUCAAAGAUGAUCCCGCGUUGUAUUAGCUAGUUGGUGAGGUAAAGGCUCACCAAGGCGAUGAUACAUAGCCGACCUGAGAGGGUGAUACGCGACUCUGGGACUGGUACACGGCCCAAAAUCCGACGGGAGGCAGCAGUAGGGAAUCUACGGCAAUGGGCGAAAGUCUGACCGAGCAACGCCGCGUGAGUGAAGAAGGUUUGCGUAUCGUAAAACACUGUUGGUAGAGAAGAACGUGGGUGAGAGUGGAAAGCUCAUCAAGUGACGGUAACUACCCAGAAAGCGACGGCUAACUACGUG